GGAGGAGUGGCAGAGCGGUUGAAUGCACCGGUCUUGAAAACCGGCGUGCGUGAAAGCGUACCGUGGGUUCGAAUCCCACCUCCUCCGCCA
rnacentral:tRNA from 2 species